AGUAAGGAUAGAGGUGCAAUGACAUGAGUACGUCCGGCUGAGGAGAAUGAGCUCCUGCGAAGCGGACGGAAAGGGGAAAUUGCCGAAGCGAACGGGAGCUCAUAUCCCCGAUGCUGGUUCUGCUGCUGAACAAGUACAGGACUGUCAUAUAGGAAACUAUAUGGAGGGCUAUCUUACGC
rnacentral:ncRNA from 1 species